AGUCAUUGGGUUGUCUAAACCUAGAGGCGCAGUGAAAGCAAAGGGCACCUUCGUGUCUGAGGGGUGACGCCCCUCGUGGGCCGCAACCCCGGCACUUCGCAUCGACCUCGCUUCGUGCGGAGUAGCAAGAGCACACACGUUGGGACCCGAAAGAUGGUGAACUAUGCCUGGCCAGGUUGAAGUCAGGGGAAACCCUGAUGGAGGACCGUAGCGAUUCUGACGUGCAAAUCGAUCGUCGGAGCUGGGUAUAGGGGCGAAAGACUAAUCGAACCAUCUAUUAGCUGGUUCCUUCCGAAGUUUCCCUCAGGAUAGCUGGUGCUCGUAAUCGAGUUUCAUCCGGUAAAGCGAAUGAUUAGAAGACUUGGGGGCGAAACGCCCUCAACUUAUUCUCAAACUUUAAAUGGGUGAGAUGUGCGACUUGCUUGAGUGAAGCCGCACAACGAAUCGGAGUGCCUAGUGGGCCAUUUUUGGUAAGCAGAACUGGCGCUGUGGGAUGAACCAAACGUCGGGUUAAAGUGCCAAAGUGGGCGCUCAUCAGAUCCCAUGAAAGGUGUUGGUUGCUUAAGACAGCAGGACGGUGGCCAUGGAAGUCGGAAUCCGCUAAGGAGUGUGUAACAACUCACCUGCCGAAGCAACUAGCCCUGAAAAUGGAUGGCGCUAAAGCGCCCCACUUAUACCCGACCGUUGCGGCAGAGCUGGCCCUUUAUUGAGGCCCUGACGCCGCAACGAGUAGGAAGGUCGCAGGGAUGGCGCGGAAGGCUCCGAGAGUGAUCUUGGCUGGAGCCGUCCCUGGUGCAGAUCUUGGUGGUAGUAGCAAAUACUCCAGAGAGGCCCUGGAGGACCGAAGUGGAGAAGGGUUUCGUGUGAACAGCUGUUGGACACGAGUCAGUCGAUCCUAAGGCUUAGGGGAAGCCUUGAUCAAGCUUUGGAACUAUUUAUACACAACUCGUGUUGAAUUCCAAUGAAUGCCGAAAGGGAAUCUGGUCCAUAUUCCAGAACCUGGUAGCGGAACCGAUCGGACCCUCGUAUCCGUCGUGGCAACGCGACACGACUAGGGGACGCCCACCGAAGCUCUGGGAAGAGUUGUCUUUUCUGCAUAAGCCGCCGAGGCCCUGGAAUCCUCUUGCAGGGAGAAUGGGUUUUGGCUCAGGCGAAGAGUGCCGCAGUUCUCGCGGCAUCCACGAGUGGUCGGUGGGACCUUGAAAACCCUAGGGAGAUUACGGCGGAAUCGCACCAGCUCGUACCC
rnacentral:rRNA from 1 species